AUGGCCAGCCUCCGGAUCGACGAGCGCAGCGGCACCGGCAGGUUCCCGGCCGCCGUGUGGCAUAGCGACAAGCCCAGGACCUUUCUCGCUUGGUCCACGGGCGCAGUCGCCUGGGAGCUCGCCGUCCCGGUUGCGUUCCGGCGCCAUGAGUCGCGCUACGUCGACACGGACGCCGACUGCCUCACCAUACACUGCACCGUCGAGGUCCUCCUCCAGCAGCAGGAGAACAACUCCGCCACCAGCACCAGGAACUGCUUCGUCUCCGUUCCUCCGCCCCCCAGCAUCUCCCAAGACUUGCACAGGCUUCUCAGGGAGAGGCAGUCGCCCGAGCCGGACGUGACAUUCGUCCUCGAGGAUGGUACCGAGAUCGAGGCGCACAAGCUGGUAAUGGCCAUGCGGUCGCCUGUAUUCCGCGCCCAGUUCUUAUGCGGGGACAUGAAGGAGCGGAGCACGCGGCGCUUCAUAAUGGACGGCAUGAGCGCCUCCACCUUGAGGGCGAUGCUCUACUUCAUCUACACCGACGAGCAGCCUACACCCAGGAGAGGAAGAUGCCGUGUGGCCAUGGCACAGGACCUGCUCGUGGCCGCGGAUCUCUAUGACCUAGAGAGGCUUAGGCUCAUGUGCGAGAAGAUACUCUCCGAGAGCAUGGACGUCGAAAAUGUCAUGACAACGUUGGUGCAGGUGGACGGCCGGCAGAGCUGCCAGCAGCUUGAGGCAUCGUGCAUCGAGUUCAUGGCGUCCGACCCAGACGUGUACGACGCUGUGGAGGCCACCGAGGAGUACAAAGAACUCGAAAAGACAUGA
rnacentral:rRNA from 1 species